rnacentral:rRNA from 1 species
UGGGGAAUUUUGCACAAUGGGGGAAACCCUGAUGCAGCGACGCCGCGUGAUUUAGAAGGCCUUCGGGUUGUAAAAAUCUUUUCUAUGGGAAGAAAAUGACAGUACCAUAGGAAUAAGGACCGGCUAAUUACGUGCCAGCAGCCGCGGUAAUACGUAAGGUCCGAGCGUUGUCCGGAAUCAUUGGGCGUAAAGGGUACGUAGGCGGGUAAGCAAGUUAGAAGUGAAAUCCUAUAGCUCAACUAUAGUAAGCUUUUAAAACUGCUCAUCUUGAGGUAUGGAAGGGAGAGUGGAAUUCCUAGUGUAGCGGUGAAAUGCGCAUAUAUUAGGAGGAAUACCGGUGGCGAAGGCGACUUUCUGGCCAUAACCUGACGCUGAGGUACGAAAGCGUGGGUAGCAAACAGG